CAGCAUAAGACUUUAUUGCAUAACAAUUUCAGGUUUAAGUGUACUAGAGAAGAUAAGCUUACAUUACAAGUUCAUCAGUUGGAAACAAUAUAUGGGCUUGAGCUUUAAAGAAGGCCCAUUAAGCUUGAAAUUGUUCUUCAUGUACAUAUAAAUCAAUAGUUGAGAAAAAGUGGAAAACAAUAGAGAUAAAAAAAAUUAGAUGUAAAUUCGCUG